GCAGACACAUUCCAGCCAAUCAGCAGCAGACCCUCCCUCCCAGACCCUCCCACCUCCUGGACAGCUCACUAAGAAUGCAGCUUCACAAUGAAUGUAAAAUGGAUGCUGUCCAGGAGGUGGGAGGGUCUGGGAGGGAGGGUCUGCUGCUGAUUGGCUGGAAAGUGUCUG